GUUACUUAGGGAUAAUGGAGGCAAAUUCAUUGCAAUUAUUUCAUAUCUUCAACAACAUGGUAUAUCCCACUUUACCACUACACCACAUACUCCGGAACAAAAUGGGAUUGCCAAACGACUGUCACACCCUGACUUUUGCGGAAGCGUGAUUAUUGGUGUGACUUCUUAAUACCAUUGCACAUGAUCAUAACAACACUAUAUGAUAAAACCAGUAGAUGUACAUCCAUUAAUUUAAGUUUUACAACAAAAUUGUCUGAAAUGACGAGACCGAUUUCAAGUUACAAACCAUAACAUGUUUUAAGGAGUUCAAAAAGACUCAACAAAAGAUUUUAAAACAACCCCGAGUUUAGGACC
rnacentral:lncRNA from 1 species